UGUUUAAGUUGAUUCAACGGGGGCU
rnacentral:piRNA from 1 species